AUGGACUGGACCCCUCUCCUGCUCCUGAUCCUCUCUCAAUGCACAGGCUCCCUGUCCCAGCCCCUGCUGACCUGGCCGCCCUCCCUCUGAGCAUCUCCGGGAACGACAGCCAGACUCACCUGCACCCUGAGCAGGGACAUCGGUGUGGGCGUCUCUAACAUCUACUGGAUCCAGCAGCAGCCAGGGAGCCCUCCCCGGUGUCUACUGAGGUUCUCCUCAGACUCCGAUAAGCACCAGGGCUCCGGGGUCCCCGGCCGCUUCUCGGGCUCCAAAGACGCCUCGGCCAAUGCGGGGCUUCUGCGCAUCUCUGGGCUCCAGGCUGAGGACGAGGCUGAGUAUUACUGUGCAUCGUGGGACAGCAGUCUCAGUGCUCACACAGUGCCCCAGGCUUGUGGGGAAGGAUGUGGGACACAGAUGGACAUGAUAGGACGUGUCCCCAUGCUCAGGGAGCUGACGGUGUCUGGGGAAAUAGAGAGGACACAGGAGCUAAACAUGUAA